rnacentral:rRNA from 1 species
UACCCGCGGCCCGAGUGGUGCUCAUUAUUAUUGAGCCUAAAGCGUCCGUAGCUGGCCGGGCAAAUCUCCGGGGAAAUCGGACGGCUCAACCGUCCGAAGACCGGAGACACUGCUCGGCUUGGGAUCGGGAGAGGGAGAAGGUACUCCCUGGGUAGGGGUAAAAUCCUGUAAUCCGGGGGGGACCACCAGUGGCGAAGGCGUCCUCCUAGAACGAGUCCGACAGUGAGGGACGAAGCCCUAGGGCGCAAACGGG